rnacentral:rRNA from 2 species
GUGGAUUUUUAGCCCUGGUGGGUAGCUUCCCGGAAACGAAAGUCUUCCGGUUCCGGGGGAAGUAUGGUUGCAAAGCUGAAACUUAAAGGAAUUGACGGAAGGGCACCACCAGGAGUGGAGCCUGCGGCUUAAUUUGACUCAACACGGGGAAACUCACCCGGCCCGGACACCGUAAGGAUUGACAGAUUGAUAGCUCUUUCAUGAUUCGGUGGUUGGUGGUGCAUGGCCGUUCUUAGUUCGUGGAUCGAUUUGUCUGGUUUAUUCCGAUAACGAGCGAGACUCUAGCCUACUAAAUAGUAACGAGAUUAUCAAUGUCUCAGUUGCUUCUUAGAGGGAUUUUCGGUGUUUAGCCGCACGAGAUUGAGCAAUAACAGGUCUGUGAUGCCCUUAGAUGUCCGGGGCUGCACGCGCGCUACACUGGCGAAAUCAGCGUGCUGUAUCCAUUCUCGAAAGGGAUUGGUAAACCCAUGAAAAUUUGCCGUGCUUGGGAUCGGAAAUUGCAAUUAUUUUCCGUGAACGAGGAAUUCCAAGUAAGUGCGAGUCAUCAACUCGCUC